ACGCAGACAAAGAUGCCCACAUCCUCAACCGCAACCGCAAUCGCAACGAACUGCCGCCUCAAUCAACGACUGCCAGCUGUAGAUGUAGCUGUGGACACGAGAGAGAACCUGAACACAGCUAUGGAUAAAUAACAUCAGUAAAUUGUCCUGUUACACCAUAUCGAGAAGUUAUCCAAUGAGAAAGCCGCUUAAAUUUUGGAGGAUCUAUGAUGGACGACAGAGAAAAAUAACGCUUUGUUUGUG